CCCCUGGCACUGCACCUGAUGUAGACACAUUGGAAUUUCCUUACCACCCACUUCAAGUCCAUCCCAUGGCAACUCUAAACCAUUUCUGUGUAUCUCUGCUGUGCAGAGAAGCUCCAGGGAAAACCAGCACCAUGAAGAAGGCCAAGUAUCCUGAGAGUGCUGUGCUAGAAAGCCCACAUGUAGACACCGAAGACAGCCCAGCUGAGCUCAGAGCUGACAGCAGAGCCAGCUCUUAACCGCACACGUGAGCCAUCUUGGACAUCCAGGCUGGUCAAGUCAUCAGAUGUUUGCAGCCCCAGCUGACAUCUUACUGCAACUGCGUGAGUAACCUCAAAUGAGAACUGCUCAGCUGAGCCCUCUUCAAAUUUCUGAUGCACAAAAUUAUGAGCAAAAUGAAAUGGUUGUUGUAGGCCACUACAUUUAAAGACAAAUUUUCACACAGCAAUAGUAAACAGAAAGAAUUGUGGUAUGUGGAAAUGAGGGUCUGCAAUAAUAGAAAUCUAAACCACAUGCCAUUGGUUUUGAGACUAGGCAGCAGGCAAGGGCUGGAAUGUAAACUGAAACCUGAUGGGCCUUGAGAAGUGCAAUAUGUCAGGGAGGGCUUAAAGGAAGGUGAGGGAGAUUUACAAGAAGCUGAAGGAGAGGAGACCAUGGUUAUGUAGUGGUGGAAAGUUUUGCAAAACUAUCACCUGCAGUAAUGUGGAAAAUAGAAAAUGUACUAAAGGAAUGCGAUGAUCUAGCUAAGAAAAUUCCCAAGCAGAGUGUUUAAGAUGCCAUCUGGCUUCUUCUAAUUGCCUAUGAUAAAAUGAAAGUAAAGAGAAUAAACAAAUAAACUUUAAAAAACCAACUAUUUUAUUUUCAAGGGAAAUUUGAAAGAAAUACAAAGGGCUCAAGAGAAUAUUUUCAGUCAGCAAAGGAUUCUUAAAGUAAGAAAGGACCUUAGGGAAAAGAUCAAACUCAGGGCUCUUUCGGGAAAAUGCCACCAAAGGGUAAAAAUAAAGCCAGAGGGGCAACUUUACAACACUUUUUUUAUGAUUUCAGAAAGAUUUAAAAUGGUAUCUCCUAGACAUGGUCUGCUAGAUAAAAUGUAUCUAAAGAUCUUAAGAUCAUGCUUUGUAGUAGAUCACCCCUCUUAAAUCAUAGAGCUUCUAGGCUCUGAAAGAUGUUGCAGCCUUAUAGAGAAUCAAAGAUAGAGAAGAGGCUAUCCCAAAGACCCUUUGUGGUAUUUGUCCAAUGAAGGGACUCUAGUAAGAUUCAUAAAAGCUAACAAAUAUUUCAAGGGAAUUAUAUUGGCAGAAGCAAUAUCAUCUUGGUCUGAAAGAGACAGAAGCAGCACAAAAUGAAAGUGGUUCUGAUCCACAACCUUCUGUGGGAAGGAAGCCAAAUGAGAGAGCCACCCCGCCGCACUCACAGGCUGCUUAUUAUUAAAAGGGAAGGACGACUCAGAGGGAAAAACCAGGAGCCCAGAUGGAGGAGCUGAGAACCUAGAGGAGGAAUUCCCUAGCACAAUCAGUACAAAUCAGUACUGAUGAACAAUCCCCUAGUACAAUUAGUACAAAUCAGUAUUAGUACAAUCCACAGUACUGGAUGACAUGAACAAAGAACUGGUGACAGGUACCCAGUUGAAUUUCAAGUUUCUCUGGACUAGUGACUGCUCUGUGCUUGCCAUCCCUUCCUUUUGGAAUAGGAGUGUCUAUUUUAUUUAUUCUAACCCUUGAUCUCUUUAGUCCUGAGGUCUUCAGAAACUUGAGCAGAUGAAUUUACACCUGGACCUGACUGAGAUGAUGUGAUCCUGAACGUCCAGCCUGAGUCUGAUGCUGUAAUAGUUGAGCCUUUGGGAGAUCUUGAUAAGGGAGAGAGUAUGUUGCAUGUGGGAGGUAUGCAAAUAAGACUGUAGCAAUUUUAAAACAUGUCUGUAAUUCCUCUGACAUUCCUCCCAUUGAUGGGUGGAGUGUGUAUCCCCUCCCCUUGAGUUUGGGCCAGCAUUAAUGUCUCACUUUUAACCAGAAGAAUACAGGAGACAUGACACAGCAUAACUUUCAAGAUCAGAUUAGAAAAAGCUACGAAGCUUACACCUGGUGUUCUUGGGAUUUUACCUCUGGGAGAAACAAAAACCCUGUAAAGAAAUCUGAUUAUCCUGAGGCUGCUAUGCUGGAGAGGCUGCUAUGCUGGAGAGGCUGCGUGUAGGUGCUCUGGCUGACAGCCCAGCUAAGCUUUCAGCUGAAACCAACUGCCUGUCAUGUGAGUGAUCCAUCUCGGAUGACAAGCCUAGUCAUGCCAUUGGAGGACUACAGCCCCAACAGAGAUCUGAAUGCAGUCCACGACAGACUCCAAGUAAUGAAAACAAUCAUCUUCCUUGUUUUCCUUCGUUUGGAUUAUUUCCUUAGAAUAACUUUCCAAAGAAGAACAAUCAAGUGACAGAGGAUGAAUAUUUUCAUAAUUUCUAAUUCAUACUGCCAAAUUACUUUCCUAAAAGAUAGUACCAAUUUGCCACCAGCAACUUAUGAUAUAGAAGUUUUAUUGUAACUUCACCAGAUUGGGUGUUGUCAUCUUAAAGCAUAUUUAAAAGCAUCAUAAAUUCAAAAGCUGUUCUGGUGGACCUGGUGUGAAAUUUCAGUACUCUGAUCUUAGGAGGGAAUUUACACUCGUUGUAGCCAUAGAAUCCUCUCCUGCUCAGUCUAACUCAGCCCUUUACUAUCUAGUUAGUGCUUUUUUUUUUUUUUUCUCAAUAAAAUUCUUCUACUGUGUUCUCAGCCUCCUUCUGGAAAGUUGGCCCAGGAGAACAUUUGUAGCCUGAGCUAGAUCUACUCCUCUGCAUUGCUUACAUGUAUGUCAAAAAUAGCCCUGAACUAUGCUGACAUUCUGGUCUAUGUCCAGCUUGAUACCAAGUUAUCAUUGAUUGAGAGUUAAGCAUGAGUCAUGCAUAUAUUCAUUUCAUUCAUUCUCUCAACCAACUUGCAAGAUAGACUUUAUCCCCCCUUUUAAGAUGAAGAUACUAGACAUCAAAGACAUUCAAUAACUUGCCAAGGUCACACAAUUUGUAACCGAUGGAGACAGGAUUUGAACCCAUGCUUUUGGCCACUACAUUUCACUGCCUCACCUAGUCUGCUGAUCUAUUGGGUGUUUCCUUCCCACUUUCCCAGACUUCCUGGGAGGAACCUAGAAGGCAGUGGAAAAUCACCCUUGGCUCCCUUAAAAUACUGUCUAUUCCCUCUAAACACUGUCUUGAUCCAUAUUUUUGAACCACCCCAAUUUAAAAGUCAAUAUUCAUGUCAUGCCUCUGUCUAUAUCCCCAUAUGGCAAGAACAUUAUAAUGUGUCUUGAUGUAUAUUUUGUUAGAAAUUAUUUGGAGGAAGUAUAAAUGAAUAUGCCUGUAUAAAUAUAUGAACAUCUUUUCUGAAAAAUUUAUUUAUGAGUCUAAGAAAUGUUCAGACUUCUUAAAUAAAAUGGAAGAAAAAAGUA